UUUAGGCUACAAGUUUUUUGAAAAAUUUGGUUUGAUUAGUUUUUGAUUCUUGUUGGUCUGUUUGCAUUUCUGACAACUAAACUUUACUGGACUAAACUACUGUGGCUUUUCUGAUAGUUUUGUGCUGUGUUCUUUUUUCCAGAAAUGGGAGUAGCUGUUAUGUGAAUGCUUUUCCUUUAGCUGCAGAUGCAGGUAAUUCUGUAGUCUUUUUGGUUUUGGAGUGAACCGUGUAAUGAAAUUGAUAUCUGAAAUACCAUUGUACAUCUAGACAAUUAUUUUGACGGAAUUUCUGUUUUUCUUUUUAUUGGUUAAUAUUACAUUGUUAAAACUUCAAAGUGCGAGUGUUGUCUUGGAUUUUCAUUGUGUUGUUUUAUUCUUAAGCUAAAGGAAAGCUGUUUUUCACUUUGCAGUGGUUUGUUUUUUUGGUAUAAUUGUUAUAGUUCCUGUAGUUUCUGUUUAGCUGCAGAUUCAUACACUGCAAACCUUGUUUUUGAGGUAGGGGGUCUUUCUGACUAUUUCUGGUAUCCAUUCAUGUUUUUUUAUAUUUAUUUUUCUGGUCAGUCUUUUUUGCUGAUGGGACAUUAUUGUUUUGUUCCCUCUUGCGCAGAGUGUACAUUUUGUUGCAUUGUUAGUGAUUCAGAUGUUAGAAUACAAGUCGAACUUCUGGUUGAGACUUCAGAUCCAGUUACCUAUGUAUUUGCAAGUACUACUCGGGACAAUCCUAUUAAUCUUCGCCAUGCUACUUCAAGCCAGGUGCUUAAUCAGUAUUCCUAACAUAUUUUUAACAAAGAUAAAGUGGCUUUCCUAACUCUCAUGGAGAACAAAUAAUAUUUUUGCAAUUUGCUGAAAGUUGAUGUAAUGAAAAUGGAACCAAUCCUUGUCAAAAUUUAAUGCCUACCGGUCAUUAACAUGCACCUCUUUGUAUUAAGUUUACUUCUCGAAAAUCACAAAGAACAGAAGAACUAUGUACUAUGACAGAUGCUGCUUUGAGUGAAGUACAUAAUUAUAACUGCUACAAGUUAUGAAACUCUUUGUAAGAUGGUGGUAAUGUGUUAACAAAUUACAGAAUCAGUGUGUAACUUUCCUUGUGGCAAUAUCUAAAUCACUUUCGUAAGCUUGGCUGAUUGCUACAAGAAUCAAUUGUAAGAUCUUAAUUUUCAUCUUAUAGAGUACGAAAUGUUUAUAUAUAUAAAGAUUAUCUGCAGUUCACAUAAUCCGUGCUCCUGUUGGUCUUAGUGACCUAUCUUGUAUUCUUUCACCUUGUUUAUUACUUUUGUUUGCGAGGUGGAUCCCUGCGCUACGGACUGCUAUGUUUGAUUAGUGAAUCUCCUGUCUCUCACCAGUGUUUUUUUUCUUCUCCCCCCCUUACUGUUUUGGGGUUUUCAACGUAAAUCUUGUCUUCUUAUCUAUAAUUUUCUUCCUUGAUUAUGUUUUCCAUAGUUUGUUGCAACACAUGUAUUGAGUUCUGAUAGAAACUCAAUGUUGUUUUUUUCUUGUAGGAAAUUUGCUGGAAUAACAAAAGUGUCAGGAUUUUAGAUAUUCAUCAGUGUUGAGAUAACAAGUACAAAUACAAAGAUGGAAAGCUCCCAACUAAAAGAAGGUAGCAGAGAAUGCAGUAACAGCAGUAGGGGCAAAGCUUCAGCAACUCAAGAACAAGAAAGUAGUAGUUAGAAUUAGCCAUAGCUAGGCUAUGUAAGCAAGGUGGUGAGAUGAAUCACUUUUAAAUAUAGAGUUUUUGACAAAAGUGAUUUUUAUAAAAAAAUUAAUAUAAUGUUUGGUUUGCAUAA
rnacentral:lncRNA from 1 species